rnacentral:lncRNA from 1 species
GUUUAAGUUGUUAUAGAUUGCUAUUUCCUUUAGGAAUUUCCCCCACUUGUCUUGUUCCCUUGUAAAGCAGGGCUGUGAGUCACCCUUGUCGGAGUUCUGUUACUGUUAUUGUCAAUAUGGAUGUAACCAAAUAAGGGGUGACCUGGAUGUUGCCCCUGAUAAGAGCUAUACAUGUUUAGAUCCUUCUAGAAGAAAAGAACCACCACGCUGUGACAUUCUCCCUCAAGAGCUGGGUUGGCAGGGACUUCAUGAGGACCCCUAGCCCAAGGGACAAGAAAUGAUGCUUGCAUAAAGGAAUACAUGAGCGACAGAGGUCAAGAUCAGGAUGGAGAAAUCUGCAGACAGCUGAACCAAGCUCAUGGAAACUCACGAACUCUAGACUGACAGCUGUGGAGACUCCAGGGGACCAAAGUAGACCCUCCGUAUGUGGGAGACAGUUGUGAAGUUUGGACUAUCUGAGGGGCCCCUGGCAGUAGGACCACGAUUCAAACCUGUGUUCUCUUGAUGGAGGAGGAAGCCUCAACACAGAAUUUUAAAGCAAAACAAAUGGACCCUUAACAAGGCAAAAAUGUGUGUGGCGCAUCAUCUGGACUGAAGUAUGUGCACCCGUCAAGAGCAAUUUCUUUGAUGUGUUCGGGGAGGUGAACAUUCCUCUGGAGCUUUUCCCAUCAGAGUUUGGAAAAUCCAACACAUGUUUGGCCACUGUGCUCUUAGAAGUGUCUAUAACACUCGACUCAACGUAUCUCUAAGACCCGAAAGACAGCAUGCAACUUGAAUAAGCCCCUUGUCGUGGAAAUUAGUGCACUAAUUACUAAAAGUGCACCUACAGAGACAACUCCAAGAAAGGGGCGUCUCCAGCUUCCACCUGCUGUUGAGUCCACGUCCUCUUUCCCCUUACCCGUGAUUGACAGCUUCCCUUGGUGGCUGGGAUCCAUGAGUCCUUCUGUCUGCCAGGCCCAGUGUCCCCUCUCUUUGGGGACCUUUCCAUGUCCUCAUGCCCUAGGAUUCUUCUCUUGCUAUUACCUG